rnacentral:rRNA from 1 species
UACGGGGGGGGCAAGCGUUGUUCGGAUUUACUGGGCGUAAAGGGCGCGUAGGCGGCCAGCACAAGUCAGUUGUGAAAUCUCCGAGCUUAACUCGGAACGGUCAACUGAUACUGUGCGGCUAGAGUGCAGAAGGGGCAACUGGAAUUCUUGGUGUAGCGGUGAAAUGCGUAGAUAUCAAGAGGAACACCUGCGGCGAAGGCGAGUCCCUGGACAGGUCCUGACGCUGAGGCACGAAAGCUAGGGGAGCAAACAGG